UCGUUUUAUGAAUGCGUUUGUAAGCGUAUGCUUAAUGUAUAUAUACAACAUGUUGAUUGAUAACUGAAGACACUAAAUUUGCCCUUGAUGCUUUUUGUGUACUGAUCUACAUUAAUUAAUCAGUGAUCUCACUUUGUUGGUCGAAUGCGAAUCCACAGAAUACAAUACAUGACACACAUUCGGUCACAGCUUGUUGCCCCAGUAGUGGUCAGUACUGGUCACAAACUACGUGGUAUACCCUGGGUGUGGAGGUAGCAUAACAAGUGGUCAAUGUGGAGAAAUUUAGGAGUUUGGGGGUUUGAGGCUCUGUGGCUGAAAUUCCACCCACCCACCACUGCCCGCCCCAGCCCCUGUACUGCAAUGAUGGGAAACAGUCCUGGCUGUGUUCUACAAUUCCUCAAAAAAUGGUGAACUGUCAUUCUUCCUCCUUGUUUACUUCCUCUAUGCUGGUAAGAUCUUUACCUUUUUUUUAACAUGUAGAAUAUGCCAAUUUUUUAUGUUAGUGAUCCUAUUGUUCAGUUUUCAGCAUGUCUUAAAGCAUGUUCAGAGUUACCACCAAAGACUAGUUUUUUUGGAUGUAGCAGGUGAAUGCAUUUGUGUAUGAUUAUGCACAUAUAUGUGCAUGUAGUUAAGUACAGUACAUGUAUGCAUGUCUGUUUGAACAUACAUCAUUUAAAGAUGUUUUUUUUCUGACUGAAAUUAUCAAGAAAUAUGAGCAGAUCACGAGCACUUGUCAUAAACAUUGUUUUAUUUUUUAAAAAUUAUCAGUCAUUAAAAUCAAGAUCACAGCAUCACUUGUCCAUCUUCAAAACAUGGAAAUAGAAAGGGAAAGAAGAGUCACUUGGGGUGAGAAAGGGUUAAAAACUCAACAGUCCUUUCUCUGUAAUAUUUUCUUGUUUUAUGUAUCAUGACCAAAUAUUAAUUGACAAAAACUUACUAGUAGCAUAAA